rnacentral:rRNA from 1 species
UACGGGGGGAGCAAGCGUUGUUCGGAUUUACUGGGCGUAAAGGGCUCGUAGGCGGCCAACUAAGUCAGACGUGAAAUCCCUCGGCUUAACCGGGGAACUGCGUCUGAUACUGGAUGGCUUGAGAUUGGGAGAGGGACAUAGAAUUCCGGGUGGAGUGGUGAAAUGCGUAGAUAUCCGGAGGAAUACCAAAGGCGAAGGCAGUGUCCUGGAGGGUGACUGACGCUGAGGCGCGAAAGCUAGGGGAGCGAACAGG